CAGGACUCUAAGGUCACGACCUGAGCCGAAGGCAGAUACUUAACUAAGCCACCCAGGCGCUGGCUUUUGAACAUGUUAGAGAAGUCAAUUAUUCAUAAGACAUCGUAGUUUGUUACAAAUGAAAUGAUCGCCUGUGUUUCACCCCAUACGGGUGAGCCAAACAGGAUUAUGGACACUGGGACUACAAUAAAAUGUUCUAAUUUGCAACUGAGGACUAUUGAAUCAUAUACACUUACAUAGAGACUGCAUGAAGCAAGUUUUCCAAGGGGGAAAUAACUUUAGAUAAGGGUCUUGAUGUAAUACACAUGGAUGCUAGAAGGGGGUGGGGGGCAAUCCAGAUGGAAGGAAGGAGGACCAAACCUAGAGAUCUGAGGAUGGGGUGGGGUAUCCUGAGAAUGGUGGGUUCCAACAGGACUGGGGCUUAUUUGCUGGACACUCUUGAACAUGGAACUGGGUCUGUUUUCUCUGAAAGGCAGUAAGUAGCUUGCUAAGGAAAGAUGCAGAGCUGCAGAGAUGUCAAAUGACUGGCGGGGCUGAAUCAGAGUAGGAAAGCCUGAACCAGGAAGCUUCAGGUGUGGUCAUCCUAGUGAGGUUAAAAAAAAAACAAAAACAAAAAAAAAAACAAAAUAGGCUGGAGGUUCAAAUCCCCAGACUAAUCUGGAGAGAAGUGAGGAAGGAGACAAGUCUUUCUUUUUUUUUUUUUAAAGCCUUUAUUUACUUCUGAUUUGAGCAACACUUGCACACAGUCAAGCACUUGGAAAACAGAAGAGGCAGUCUUUAUCAACCCACUGCUGAAGAAUUACAAUUGUGAGCAUCCUGAAUACUGUGUCUGAGGAUGAGAGAAUGGGCUCCCUAUUUUCACCAGGCGAACAAUAGACCUUCCAGCGGGCAGUUGCAGACAGUCAGCUUCCUGGCAAGCUGGAGGAGUUCCCUACGGCAGAUGGGGAGAGCUUCUAAAACAUGUGAAGUUUCUCCCAUUGUAUCCAUCCUCAACUUCUAACCCGAUGCCAUUAGUGAUUUUGGUUAACCUUUUUCUUGAGCAGCUGCCCUGGGUGGGGGAUGCCUUGCUUUCUACUCCUAGAAAUUAGAUUUAGUUUCAUCUUAGCCUCACACAUUUUUUUACUCACACAUGAGCCAGCUGUUCAGGAAUUCUACUAAAAUCUUGAAACUCAAAUAUUCUGACUUCAGCCUCUCCCCAUUCCAGUUCCUGCCUUCUCAUCCAGACUUCUGGAUGCUGAAUUCCCCCAUUUUCCCCUGUCUUCCUGCUUUCUCCAGUGCCAUGGUUCAAUCAUCUGAACUGCUUUCUUGCUAUCAUCUUUGAUUGCCUUUUCUCCUAGCCCUUUUACCUGCCUGGCAAAACUGAAAACUCACACAGUUGCCAUUCAUUUUUGCUGUCAUAUAGCCUAGUGCUGUUGCGGGAAUUGGAAGAUAUAAACUGGGGCCACCAAAGCUGCGCAGGCUCGGAGCUCAGUGAAGCCCUGUCAGCCAGCUACUGACUCAAGGUCUCCUGUUUGUAUUAGAAACCACGUCUUUAUUCCAUCCUCCCGAUUUCUUCCUGUCUCAGACGAAUGGAUUCUCUCCUUGCCAUCAAGCCAAACUUCUCCACCGGCCAGUUGCCUCACCUCCUUGACCCCAUCAGUUUCUUUACAAAGCUACCCCAUCAACCACCACUUCUCUUGUAUUUUCAACCUUUGGCUCCCUACUGAUGAAUGAGUGUCAUUAGCCAGCUCCCCAACCCUGCAUUUCCUUCUAGCUAUCAUUCAAUUGUCCUCUGACCUUCAGAGCCAGACAUAUGCUUAGGGACUACUUCAAACACACUGAAACAGUGCAGAGAAGCAUGUAACAAACAAGGAUUUAACAAAUGUCAACAUUUUUUACCACAUGGACUCAAGUUUUUUCUUGGAGGAAAUAAAAUGCCUCAAGAAAAACCUGGAAAGACCUGUCUUCCUCUCCCUUUUCAAUCCACUAUAAUGUGGGUUCUGCCCCUUACCACUCUACUGGAAUCAUUCAUGGUCUUCAUUUAAAAUGUAGUCGCUGGCAAGAUGGCAGAAGAGUUGGGGCCUUAACUCACCAGGCCCCACAAACUUACCUAGAUAACUUUCAAAACAUCCUGAACACCUACAAAUUCGACCUGAGAUUUAAAGAGAAAAUAGCUGGAAUGCUACAGAGAGAAAAGUUUUCGCUUCUAACAAGGUAGGAAGACAAAAAAACAAAAAAGAAUUAAGUAAGGGAGAGGAACUGCAACCAGCAGGGCUAAAGUGGAGCAGUGAAAGCCUCCUGGGGCAGGAAAGCUCAGCCCUGGAAAAGUGGGAACUUUAAAAAUCUGCACCAGAGUUUUCCCUGACAGAAAAGUGCUUAGCCAGGAAAUCGCAGGAGGGGCAGGGAAGCCUCAAGAUUCCCAGAGUCACUAUAAGAGGAGGGGCACCUGGGGGAAAGUGCACCACAAACCACGGUCCACUAUCGGUAAAGGGGUGGAGCGCCACAAUCCUCUGGUGCAUUUGGGAAAAGCCAGUUGGUUAGGUGAGCUGGCUCUGGGCGGAGGUGGCUGUACCCCAUUUCCUUCGGGACAGGCAGUCCCCAGGAGCGCGAGUCCAGAGGCACAGGGCCCCGAAUCCCAGGGCGCCAAAGCAAAGCGGGUGUUCCUUCUGGGACAGGCAGAAGCGGGGAGGGCACAGGACAGUGAGAACUCAACUGCUACUAGGUACCCAGCAAGCUGUGCAGAUCAGUGCACCGGCGCCUGCCCCCAGGAGCAUCUAGGCCAGUGUGUACUGGGAGCUGUGGUUAGUUACUCACAGGGAGCUAGACUCCAGAGCUGGAAAUCUGGCCGCUACCAUUUUUGUUUUUCCUCUGUUUCACCUUGUGCCUAGGAGAGGCGGGGCCUCUAGGAAACAAAGACCUCACGGGAUCAUCAACUCACUCUGAGCCUGGCACCUGGUGAGGGAUGGGGUAUCUCCACCCAGGCCCAGACACCUGAGAAUCAGGACAGCAGACCCUUACCCCAGAAGAGACCAGCUGGAAGAACAAGGGAAGAGCAAGUUUAUUGACCAAGCAGCACUGGAAAGCUGCCUAUGCUGAUUCUCUAGGACUGAGGGAAAAUAGUACAUAGAACAAGAAGGUCUUUUUUUUUUUUUUUUUCCAUUACUACUCGUUUUUAUAUCAGACUAAAAAUUUCCAAUAUUUUUUCUUUUCCCACCUUAACUACAAUAUUUUACCAGCUCUUCAUUUUUAAGUUUUUUCCUUUUUGACUUUCAUAUUUCUAAAAUUACAUGUCUUAGACAUAUUUUUUACUUCUGGAUUCCCUUCAACGUAUUCAAUUUAAUUUUGGUAGAUAUACAAGAUAUGGGUUUUUGUUUUGUGUUGUUUUUUCUGCCUCAUUUUGUUUUACGAUGGUGGGUGUUAGUACCUUCUAAAACACGACCAACAUAUACCCAGAACCAAGUAGAAUACCAUGUUCGUUCAUUCUGUGAGAUUCUAUUCCCUCUUCCUCCUCAUUCCGCCCCCCUCUUUUAUCUUGUUUGUGUUUUUGUGGUCAAUGUUGGGGCUUUACAUAACUUUUGCUGGUUUAUAUAAAUUUAGGAUUGAGCACCUUCUAACACAGAGAACAAAAAAUACUCAGAACCAAGAUGAUCACCCUCUAGGACCCCUCAGAUAGACAUUCUCUCUUCACUACCACUUCCUCACCACCACCAUCCCCUCCUUUUUUUCUUUUUCCUCUUUACUUUUUUCUUUUUCUUUGUUCUUCUUCAUUGUUUUUGGUUUUGGCUUUUUAUUUUUACUGCUUUAAGAAUGUGUUUUUCACUUUAGUGGUCCUUUUAUUUUGUUUUUUUUGUUUUGUUUUGUUUUUUUAAUUUUCUGGUCUCUGACGUCUUCAGAAUCAUCUAGGGUGUAUUUUACUUGGUCAUGGUUGAUAUUUUUGACUCAGCCCACUCAUACAGCCACUCUGCACUGGACAAAAUGACUAGAAGGGAGAAUUCA
rnacentral:lncRNA from 1 species